GGAGAGAGUGAGUGUUGUGUAAGCAGUCUUUGCCAGGCUAAAGAUCUCCUAGCAACAAGGACCCCUGUUUCUAUAUAAGGUGGAGAGGGAAUCAAAUAUAGGUACAAAAACAGUGAUGGCAGAACUGAAUGCAGCACCCUGGAGAUGAACUCAUGGAAAAACACCUCCUGUCCCAUGUCUGAACAGGCUGUGGUGGAGCCAUGCGGGCUGCCAGCUGUCAACUGCUGGAACAAUGCUUUAAAUAACGUGAAAACCACAGACUGUGCCACAGCUGACUCACUGCACCAAGAAACGUCACAGAAAAGAGAUAUUCCACUCAACGUCACAUAGCUAUCAAAUAGCAUAACACCAUGUUGGAGAACUGGCCCAAUCCCAAACAACACAGAGCUGAAG